rnacentral:rRNA from 1 species
GGUCACUCCAACCCCUGUGAACAUACCUAUACGUUGCCUCGGCGGAUCAGCCCGCGCCCUGUAAAAAGGGACGGCCCGCCCGAGGACCCUAAACUCUGUUUUUAGUGGAACUUCUGAGUAAAACAAACAAAUAAAUCAAAACUUUCAACAACGGAUCUCUUGGUUCUGGCAUCGAUGAAGAACGCAGCAAAAUGCGAUAAGUAAUGUGAAUUGCAGAAUUCAGUGAAUCAUCGAAUCUUUGAACGCACAUUGCGCCCGCCAGUAUUCUGGCGGGCAUGCCUGUUCGAGCGUCAUUUCAACCCUCAAGCUCAGCUUGGUGUUGGGACUCGCGGUAACCCGCGUUCCCCAAAUCGAUUGGCGGUCACGUCGAGCUUCCAUAGCGUAGUAAUCAUACACCUCGUUACUGGUAAUCGUCGCGGCCACGCCGUAAAACCCCAACUUCUGAAUGUUGACCUCGGAUCAGGUAGGAAUACCCGCUGAACUUAAGCAUAUCAAAAGGCCGGAGGAA